CCAGACUCCUACGGGAGGCAGCAGUGGGGAAUAUUGGACAAUGGACCAAGAGUCUGAUCCAGCAAUUCUGUGUGCACGAUGAAGUUUUUCGGAAUGUAAAGUGCUUUCAGUUGGGAAGAAAGAAAUGACGGUACCAACAGAAGAAGUGACGGCUAAAUACGUGCCAGCAGCCGCGGUAAUACGUAUGUCACGAGCGUUAUCCGGAUUUAUUGGGCGUAAAGCGCGUCUAGGUGGUUAUAUAAGUCUGAUGUGAAAAUGCAGGGCUCAACUCUGUAUUGCGUUGGAAACUGUAUAACUAGAGUACUGGAGAGGUAAGCGGAACUACAAGUGUAGAGGUGAAAUUCGUAGAUAUUUGUAGGAAUGCCGAUGGGGAAGCCAGCUUACUGGACAGAUACUGACGCUGAAGCGCGAAAGCGUGGGUAGCAAACAGGAUUAGAUACCCUGGUAGUCCACGCCGUAAACGAUGAUUACUAGGUGUUGGGGGUCGAACCUCAGCGCCCAAGCAAACGCGAUAAGUAAUCCGCCUGGGGAGUACGUACGCAAGUAUGAAACUCAGAGGAAUUGACGGGGGCCCGCACAAG
rnacentral:rRNA from 1 species